UACGUAGGUGGCAAGCGUUGUCCGGAUUUACUGGGCGUAAAGAGCGCGCAGGCGGUCGUUCAAGUCGCGUGUGAAAGCCCCCCGGCUCAACUGGGGAGGGUCACGCGAUACUGAUCGACUCGAAGGCAGGAGAGGGAAGUGGAAUUCCCGGUGUAGUGGUGAAAUGCGUAGAUAUCGGGAGGAACACCAGUGGCGAAGGCGACUACCUGGCCUGUUCUUGACGCUGAGGCGCGAAAGCUAGGGGAGCAAACGGG
rnacentral:rRNA from 1 species